GAGGCCUCGGCCUUUUCCCCACGGACGUCGGUCGAGGUCGGCUGUUGUGCUUGUUAUCCUGCGCGCAAUCCGUUGCCAUCCUGGUUCGCCUGCACGGCCGGUGGGGUUUUAAGCGGAGAUGUCGCUCGCCGAGGUAGCGUGGGCCCCGUGUCGGGGGGAAUUGGCGGCCGAACACGGUCCGAAGGCCGGUCAAGCCACUAGGUCCCGAAGCCGGCUGAAGGUCUUUGGCGAAAAUGGCGCCUAGGCCUCAGCCUAUGUGUCACAUUUUCGGAAACAGAUGUCUCAAUAAAAUAUGGAUCCAUUCCCCAUACCGAUGCUUCUUUGCCUUUGUGGAACCCUGACUAGCAGCAAAUGACCUUAUGGACUGAGGACAUAAAGGAAUCUUGCGCCUUUUCUCAUGGAGGUUCCUUGAGUUCUGUUCAGAGCACAGGUAUCUUUGGAGUCAAGUGAUAACAUUGUCUCGUCAUAGGCAAUCGGGCUUACUAACAGUAAGGCAUGCAAGAAAUGGUUGUGCAGAGUGAUGAACUGCGUGUUCCUCUGAAAAGAAUCUUCAACUUGGUCGAUGUCUUAGGUCUUCAGAGACGCCUUGGAAUUCGUCAUGGAACAAACAUAAGAACUCAUCUACUGGCAAUUUUGGGAGGAUCUGUAGAGCUAUGAGUAAAAUAGUCAUAUUUCCAUGCCUGUUUUAUUAAAGAAUGUUUUUAAAAAUAAUGAAAAA